AUCUAUAUUUCACUUUAGAUAAUGGUGCAUGGACAUUUAUUAAUCCAACUUCUGAUGAUUCUCUUGUGCAG
rnacentral:tRNA from 1 species